GGUUCGAUGGCGUAGUUGGUUAUCGCAUCUGUCUAACACACAGAAGGUCCCCGGUUCGAACCCGGGUCGAAUCA